AAAUCACAACCGGUAGCGUUGGAUCCCUUGGCACGUUGAUCGAUGAAGACCGUUGCAAACUGCGAUAAGUGGUGUGAUGCGCAAGUCUAAAACUUAUAAGUGAAUCAUCGAAUCGUUGAACGCACGACACCGGCUCUAUCCGAGYAGGUAUGCCCCUUUGAGCGCCAUUA
rnacentral:rRNA from 2 species